GACUGGAGUCUGCAACCCGACUCCACGAAGCUGGAUUCGCUAGUAAUCGCGCAUCAGCCACGGCGCGGUGAAUACGUUCCCGGGCCUUGUACACACCGCCCGUCAAGCCAUGGGAGCCGGGGGUACCUGAAGUGCGUAACCGCGAGGAUCGCCCUAGGGUAAAACUGGUGACUGGGGCUAAGUCGUAACAAGGUAAC
rnacentral:rRNA from 1 species